CGGAGCCGGCCCGAGGAGGAGGAGGAUCCUAGGACCCAGAUGUUGAUGUGCCGCAUAGCCUUGAAAGUCUUUGUACAUUGCUUAUGUGUAUGAAAGGGGUAUGAAUGUGUCGAGAGAAGAUGCAAAGUUAUUUCUCAGAACCAAAUGGCCAAAGAAGGAGGGGGAGCAAGCGUGGGCAAAGACUAGACAGCCUGGCAUCAAAAUACGUACCCCUACUCACAAGGUGAUUGAAUACUGGCAGAUUGACGGCUUUAAAGUGAAGUGAGCACCCCGAAAAGACGAUUGAUUACAGGAUGAGCCUCGGAGAAUGUUUUGGGAACACUGACAUCAAAAGAUAAUGCUCUGGUCACAGGCUGACACAGCAGAAUACAUUGAUUUUCAACAGGAAAAAGGAUUAUAAAAGCAGAGUGCUUUGCAAUGGAACUUUGGGUUCAUCUUGCCAACGCCAAAUCCAGAGGAGCACUGGAUCAAUCGACCGACAAAGGCCCUGCUCCCCCCUGUGUUUAAUCUAGCUGGCCACUAGAUUGAUACAGAAUCUGGACUGGUAAAUACGACAUUGUCUGGCAGGACUGUGUAUGCAAGAUGUUUUGUGUGUGUGUGAUUGAAAAGCAUAUGCAACUGUUAUAUUCUCAAUAAAUGCGGCGUACUGCCUUUUUCCCUAUAAAAGA